UACAGAGGUGGCAAGCGUUGCUCGGUAUCACUGGGCUUAAAGGGCGCGUAGGCGGUGCGGUACGGUUUCGGUGAAAUCCCUCGGCCCAACCGAGGAACAGCCGGGGCUACGGCCGCGCUAGACGGCAUCAGGGGACAGUGGAACUCCCGGUGGAGCGGUGAAAUGCGUAGAUAUCAGGAGGAACACCGGUGGCGAAGGCGGGUCUCUGGGCCGAUACUGACGCUGAGGAGCGAAAGCGUGGGGAGCGAACAGG
rnacentral:rRNA from 1 species